rnacentral:rRNA from 1 species
GACGUAGGGCGCGAGCGUUGUCCGGAUUUAUUGGGCGUAAAGAGCUCGUAGGCGGCUUGUUGCGUCGGCUGUGAAAACCCAUGGCUCAACCGUGGGCUUGCAGCCGAUACGGGCAGACUAGAGUGCGGUAGGGGAGACUGGAAUUCCUGGUGUAGCGGUGGAAUGCGCAGAUAUCAGGAGGAACACCGAUGGCGAAGGCAGGUCUCUGGGCCGCAACUGACGCUGAGGAGCGAAAGCAUGGGGAGCGAACCGG